GACGAACGCUGGCGGCGUGCUUAACACAUGCAAGUCGAACGGAAAGGCCCUGCUUUUGUGGGGUGCUCGAGUGGCGAACGGGUGAGUAACACGUGAGUAACCUGCCCUCGACUUUGGGAUAACUUCAGGAAACUGGGGCUAAUACCGGAUAGGAGCUCCUGCUGCAUGGGGGGGGUGGGAAAGUUUCGGCGGGUGGGGAUGGACUCGCGGCUUAUCAGCUUGUUGGUGGGGUAGUGGCUUACCAAGGCUUUGACAGGUAGCCGGCCUGGGAGGGUGGCCGGCCACGUUGGGCCGGGGAUACGGCCCAGCCUCCUACGGUAGGCAGCGGUGGAGAAUAUUGCACAGUGGGCGGAAGCCUGAUGCAGCAACGCCGCGUGGGGGAUGUCAGGCUUCGGGUAGUAAUCCGCAUUCGCCUGUGCCGAAGCGUGAGUGACGGUAAUGGGUAAAGAAGCCCCGGCUAACUACGUG
rnacentral:rRNA from 1 species